GAUGAACGCUGGCGGCGUGCCUAAUACAUGCAAGUCGAGCGAACAGACGAGGAGCUUGCUCCUUUGACGUUAGCGGCGGACGGGUGAGUAACAUGUGGAUAACCUACUUAUAAGUCUGGGAUAACUUCGGGAAACCGGAGCUAAUACCGGAUAAUAUAUUGAACCGCAUGGUUCAAUAGUGAAAGACGGCUUUUCUGUCACUUAUAGAUGGAUCCGCGCCGCAUUAGCUAGUUGGUAAGGUAACGGCUUAUCAAGGCAACGAUGCGUAGCCGACGUGAGAGGGUGAUAGGCCACACUGGAACUGGAACGCGGUCCAGGCUCCUGCGGGAGGCAGCAGUAGGGAAUCUGACGCAAUGGGCGAAAACCUGACGGAGCAGGGCGACGUGAGUGAUAAAGGUCUUCGGAUCGUAAAGAUCUGUUAUUGGGGAAGAACAAAUGUGUAAGUAGCUGUGCACGUCUUGACGGUACCUGAUCAGAAAGCCACGGCUAACUACGUG
rnacentral:rRNA from 1 species